AGCGAACGCUGGCAGCAGGCCUAACACAUGCAAGUCGAGCGGACGUAGCAAUACGUCAGCGGCAGACGGGAGAGUAACACGUGGGAACGCGCCCUUCGGUUCGGGAUAACUCAGGGAAACUUGGGCUAAUACCGGAUACGCCCUUACGGGGAAAGAUUUAUUGCCGAAGGAACGGCCCGCGUCCGAUUAGCUUGUUGGUGAGGUAACGGCUCACCAAGGCGACGAUCGGUAGCUGGUCUGAGAGGAUGACCAGCCUCACUGGGACUGAGACACGGCCCAGACUCCUACGGGAGGCAGCAGUGGGGAAUAUUGGACAAUGGGCGCAAGCCUGAUCCAGCCAUGCCGCGUGGGUGAUGAAGGCCCUAGGGUUGUAAAGCCCUUUCGGCGGGGAAGAUAAUGACGGUACCCGCAGAAGAAGCCCCGGCUAACUUCGUGCCAGCCGCCGCAGUAAAAC
rnacentral:rRNA from 1 species